GAUGAACGCUAGCGGCAGGCCUAAUACAUGCAAGUCGAGGGGUAGUGGUUGCUUGCAGCCAUGAGACCGGCGCACGGGUGCGUAACGCGUAUGCAACCUACCUUCAUCUGGGGGAUAGCCCGGAGAAAUCCGGAUUAAUACCGCAUAAAAUCACAGUACGACAUCGUACAAUGAUCAAACAUUUAUGGGAUGGAGAUGGGCAUGCGUGUUAUUAGUUAGUUGGCGGGGUAACGGCCCACCAAGACCGCGAUGACUAGGGGAUCUGAGAGGAUGACCCCCCACACUGGUACUGAGACACGGACCAGACUCCUACGGGAGGCAGCAGUAAGGAAUAUUGGUCAAUGGGCGCAAGCCUGAACCAGCCAUGCCGCGUGCAGGAAGACGGCCCUCUGGGUUGUAAACUGCUUUUAUUCGGGAAUAAACCUGCUUACGUGUAAGUAGCUGAAUGUACCGAAGGAAUAAGGAUCGGCUAACUCCGUGCCAGCCGCCGCGGUAACAC
rnacentral:rRNA from 1 species